rnacentral:rRNA from 1 species
UCCAGACUCCUACGGGAGGCAGCAGUGGGGAAUAUUGCACAAUGGGGGAAACCCUGAUGCAGCGACGCCGCGUGAGUGAAGAAGUAUUUCGGUAUGUAAAGCUCUAUCAGCAGGGAAGAAAAUGACGGUACCUGACUAAGAAGCCCCGGCUAACUACGUGCCAGCAGCCGCGGUAAUACGUAGGGGGCAAGCGUUAUCCGGAUUUACUGGGUGUAAAGGGAGCGUAGACGGCAUGGCAAGUCAGAUGUGAAAGCCCGGGGCUCAACCCCGGGACUGCAUUUGAAACUGUCAGGCUGGAGUGCAGGAGAGGUAAGUGGAAUUCCUAGUGUAGCGGUGAAAUGCGUAGAUAUUAGGAGGAACACCAGUGGCGAAGGCGGUCUGCUGGACAGCAACUGACGCUGAGGCGCGAAAGCGUGGGGAGCAAACAGGAUUAGAUACCCCGGUACCU